UCCUUAGAUGUUCUGGGCCGCACGCGCGCUACACUGACGAAUGCAACGAGCUUAUAACCUUGGCCGAAAGGUCUGGGUAAUCUCCAAAUUUCGUCGUGAUGGGGAUAGAUUAUUGCAAUUAUUAAUCUUCAACGAGGAAUGCCUAGUAAGCGCAAGUCAUCAGCUUGCGUUGAUUACGUCCCUGCCCUUUGUACACACCGCCCGUCGCUCCUACCGAUUGAAUGGUCCGGUGAAGCGUUCGGACCGUGGCCUUUGGACGGUUCGCCGUCUGUUGGCUGCGGGAAGUUCGUUAAACCUUAUCAUUUAGAGGAAGGAGAAGUCGUANCA
rnacentral:rRNA from 1 species